GCGGUGAGGACAAGGUUCCUGGCGGUGAGGACAAGGUUCCUGGCGGUGAGGACAAGGUUCCUGGCUGUGAGGACAAGGUUCCUGGCGGUGAGGACAAGGUUCCUGGCAGUGAGGACAAGGUUUCUCGCGUUGAGGACAAGGUUUCUGCCGGUGAGGACAAGGUCUCAGCCGGUGAGGACAAGGUCGCUGGCGGUGAGGACAAGGUUCCUGGCGGUGAGGACAAGGUUCCUGGCGGUGUGGACAAGGUUCCUGCCGGUGAGGACAAGGUUCCUGGCGGUGUGGACAAGGUUUCUUCCGCUGAGGACAAGGUCCCUGGCAGUGAGGACAAGGUUCCUGGCGGUGAGGACAAGGUUCCUGGCGGUGAGGACAAGGUUCCUGGCGGUGAGGACAAGGUUCCUGGCGGUGAGGACAAAAUUCCUGGCGGUGAGGCCAA
rnacentral:lncRNA from 1 species